rnacentral:rRNA from 1 species
AUUGAACGCUGGCGGCAGGCCUAAUACAUGCAAGUAGAACGAGUUGCGAACGGGUGAGUAACGCGUGGUAACCUGCCUCAUAUCUGGGGAUAACUACUGGAAACGGUAGCUAAUACCGCAUACCAUCAGAUGUGCCCAGAUGGGAUUGGCUUGUUGGUGGGGUAACGGCUCACCAAGGCGACGAUCCCUAGCUGGUCUGAGAGGAUGACCAGCCACACUGGAAGUGAGACACGGUCCAGACUCCUACGGGAGGCAGCAGUGGGGAAUAUAGCACAAUGGGAGCAAGCCUGAUGCAGCCAUGCCGCGUAGAUGAAGAAGGCCUUGGGGUAGUAAAGUACUUUCAGCGUGGAGGAGUUACCAGCAGAAGAAGCACCGGCUAACUCCGUGCCAGCAGCCGCGGUAAUAC